GUGCUCGCUUCAGCAGCACAUAUACAAAAAUUGGAAGGAUACAGAAAAGAUUAACAUAGCCCCUAAGCAAGGAUAACACGCAAAUUCAUGAAGUGUUCCAUAUUUUU
ensembl:snRNA U6 U6 spliceosomal RNA